GCUUGCUUCGGCAGGACUUAUACUAAAAUUGGAACGAUACAGAGAAGAUUAGCAUGGCCCCUGCACAAGGAUGACAAACAAAUUCAUGAAGCGAAAUUCUCUGAG